AGUGAAAAAGAACCUGAAACCGUGUACGUACAAGCAGUGGGAGCCCCACCACCAAAGCAUUCUCUGGUGUUGAAGGCCCUGCAAAGCAGCAUCGCGGUGGCGGAGCGUCGUUUGCGACGCCCAACACACAAAACAAGCGGUGAGUGCUUUGGGGUGGGGUGACUGCGUACCUUUUGUAUAAUGGGUCAGCGACUUAUAUUCUGUAGCAAGGUUAACCGUAUAGGGGAGCCGAAGGGAAACCGAGUCUUAACUGGGCGUUAAGUUGCAGGGUAUAGACCCGAAACCCGGUGAUCUAGCCAUGGGCAGGUUGAAGGUUGGGUAACACUAACUGGAGGACCGAACCGACUAAUGUUGAAAAAUUAGCGGAUGACUUGUGGCUGGGGGUGAAAGGCCAAUCAAACCGGGAGAUAGCUGGUUCUCCCCGAAAGCUAUUUAGGUAGCGCCUCGUGAACUCAUCUUCGGGGGUAGAGCACUGUUUCGGCUAGGGGGUCAUCCCGACUUACCAACCCGAUGCAAACUGCGAAUACCGAAGAAUGUUAUCACGGGAGACACACGGCGGGUGCUAACGUCCGUCGUGAAGAGGGAAACAACCCAGACCGCCAGCUAAGGUCCCAAAGUCACAGUUAAGUGGGAAACGAUGUGGGAAGGCUCAGACAGCCAGGAUGUUGGCUUAGAAGCAGCCAUCAUUUAAAGAAAGCGUAAUAGCUCACUGGUCGAGUCGGCCUGCGCGGAAGAUGUAACGGGGCUAAACUGUGCACCGAAGCUGCGGCAGCGACGCUUAUGCGUUGUUGGGUAGGGGAGCGUUCUGUAAGCCUGCGAAGGUGUCCUGUGAGGGAUGCUGGAGGUAUCAGAAGUGCGAAUGCUGACAUAAGUAACGAUAAUGCGGGUGAAAAGCCCGCUCGCCGGAAGACCAAGGGUUCCUGUCCAACGUUAAUCGGGGCAGGGUGAGUCGACCCCUAAGGCGAGGCCGAAAGGCGUAGUCGAUGGGAAACGGGUUAAUAUUCCCGUACUUGGUGUUACUGCGAAGGGGGGACGGAGAAGGCUAUGUUGGCCGGGCGACGGUUGUCCCGGUUUAAGCGUGUAGGCUGGUUUUCCAGGCAAAUCCG
rnacentral:rRNA from 1 species